rnacentral:rRNA from 1 species
CUACGUAGGGGGCAAGCGCUAUCCGGAUUUACUGGGUGUAAAGGGAGCGUAGACGGCUGUGCAAGUCUGAUGUGAAACUCCGCGGCUCAACCGCGGGCCUGCAUUGGAAACUGUACAGCUUGAGAACUGGAGGGGCAGGCGGAAUUCCUGGUGUAGCGGUGAAAUGCGCAGAUAUCAGGAGGAACACCGGCGGCGAAGGCGGCCUGCUGGACAGCAUCUGACGUUGAGGCUCGAAAGCGUGGGGAGCAAACAGGAUUAGAUACCCUGGUAGUCCACGCCCUAAACGAUGAAUACUAGGUGUGGGAGGGCAUUGCCCUCCGGUGCCGCAGCUAACGCAUUAAGUAUUCCACCUGGGGAGUACGUUCGCAAGAAUGAAACUCAAAUGAAUUGACGGGG